GUUAAUAAAAAUCGGGUGCGUUGCAAUUUUUGUGACGUUUCCGGAGUUUGAGUUAUCUUAAUUAACUUCGGUUUUUUUAAGAGGCUUAAAAUUGACCUUUUUUUGUGCAUUUUUAGACGUACAUAAAUUUUUUUUUUUAUUCGUCCAUCCUAAUGCCAAAAUCUAUUAGAUGCGACCAUAUCUUGUGGUUCCGUGUCUAUAAAUUUUUCAUG
rnacentral:misc_RNA from 1 species